AUUGAACGCUGGCGGCAGGCCUAACACAUGCAAGUCGGGCGAGAGGCGGACGGGUGAGUAAUUUAUGGGGAUGUGCAUGAUGGAGGGGGAUAAGUACUGGAAAAGGUAGCUAAUGCCGCAUACCAUCCGUUGGACAGACAUGGGAUUAGCUGGUAGGUGAGGGUACGGCUUACAUAGGCGACGAUCCCUGGCUGGUCUGAGAGGAUGAUCAGCCACACUGGGACUGAGACACGGCCCAGACUCCUACGUGAGGCAGCAGUGGGGAAUAUUGCACAAUGGGCGCAAGCCUGAUGCAGCCAUGCCGCGUGUAUGAAGAAGGCCUUCGGUUUGUAAAGUACUUUUAGUCGGGAGGCGUUACCGACAGAGGAAGCACCGGCUAACUCCGUGCCAGCAGCCGCGGUAAUUC
rnacentral:rRNA from 1 species